UGACAGAAUCGUGCACAGACAAGAGUAUGAUGACCAGCAGAAUGGACACGCCCCUGAUGAUUCCAAGACCCAGAUGUCUGAUGAAGGAACCAUUCAAGAUCCAGCGAGACAAAGAGGGGAAGAAGCCUCUGCCAAUGGCAAGUUCAGUCCUGAAAGAACCGUGAGCAAGGAACUGACUGAACAAAUGACAGGAAAAGGAAAGUGUAUUCAGAUGUGAGUUGCGUACAUUAAGGUCUUGGAGGGUGGAUUCUGGUGUUCAUUGGGACAGCAGGAAAUGUGAGAGGAAUCCGGAUAUGUCAGGGCAUUACUUUUGACAUAUAAAGGAUGUAAUUGACUGUGUCAUGUGUAUAACAGUUACAUUGGUUAUAUUGUUUUCCUUUUGAAGAAAAAUGCCUUUUCCUUUUGACCUAAAGGCACCUCUGCAGCUUUUGUUUUUAUGAAAAAGAGCUUUUAUUUUUACACUUGGUUUAUUUGUACUGUUUAAUAUACCUGCUCGCGGCCCUAUACUUUUAGAAAAUUUCAGAUAUGUAGCAUGUGUUAAAGUCAUGAAUAACAUCUUAUUCAAAACCCAAAAUUUAAUUCUCAUUUGUGUGAAAUGUGUCUUCUGAUGGAUUUACAAGUACAUGAAAAAUGCUGUUCAAAACAAAUUUUCACCAUACACCAGACAAGUAAUGUUUUUUUAAUUUAACAGUAAAAUUGUUUUACAAAGCAUACUAAAUAGUGCUUACAUAUAACAUACUGUGCCUUUUAUUUAGUUUUUUAUUUUCUAUAUGAAGGAGCUUUAUGGUAUUUUUGGGGGUAUUUUUUAAUGAACAUGGAAAAAUGUGUGCGCUUAUCAAUACUGAAUGAUAAUGACUUGUUUUGUCAAUGAUGUUUUGUUGGUUUUUUGUGUUUUGUGAUAGUUUAUGCAAGAACAUACCAAUGUAGAAUUUCAUAUUUACACGUAUUGCUUUAAAGAUAAUUUACAUUUGAACUGAAGUGUUGUUGGACACACUUGCAUACUAAUUAAUGGCAUUUAGAUGGUGGAAAAACUUUUGAUUUAGUGAGAUGUUUAAAAUGUUUUUGUUUGGAGAUGAGAAGCAAUUUAAUGACUGAUUUUCUUUUUUUCUUAAAUGGUUUGUA